AAUAGUGUGGCAUAAUGGUUUGAGUGUUGGACUGUGACUCCAGAGAACAGGAUUCGAAUUCCUGCUGGGUGA